GAGAGUAUAGCUCGUGGUAGAGCAUGUGCUUAGCACGCAUGAGGUCCUGGGUUCAAUCCCCAGUGCCUCCU
rnacentral:tRNA from 1 species